rnacentral:rRNA from 1 species
CCUACGGGUGGCAGCAGUCGAGAAUCAUUCACAAUGGGGGAAACUCUGAUGGUGCGACGCCGCGUGGGGGAAUGAAGGUCUUCGGAUUGUAAACCCCUGUCAUGUGGGAGCAAAUUAAAAAGAUAGUACCACAAGAGGAAGAGACGGCUAACUCUGUGCCAGCAGCCGCGGUAAUACAGAGGUCUCAAGCGUUGUUCGGAAUCACUGGGCGUAAAGCGUUCGUAGGCUGUUUCGUAAGUCGUGUGUGAAAGGCGCGGGCUCAACCAGCGGACGGCACAUGAUACUGGGAGACUAGAGUAAUGGAGGGGGAACCGGAAUUCUCGGUGUAGCAGUGAAAUGCGUAGAUAGCGAGAGGAACACUCGUGGCGAAGGCGGGUUCCGGGACAUUAACUGACGCUGAGGCACGAAGGCCAGGGGAGCGAAAGGGAUUAGAUACCCCUGUAGUC